GUUACGGGUCACCAUCAUGCGAGUUGUUGAGAUCAGAUGGGUCAAGGUUGAAAUGGGGGCUGAUCUGCCUGGGACUGCAUUAAAGGGAACUGAUAGCUGGUGUUUUAGGAUAAGAUGCACAUAUAUAUAAGAUGAAUCAGAAGAUAAUCCUUUUGGGUUAAUUCUAAUGAGAAUGAACUAUAAGUAAAAUCAGCCAAAAGUCACUUCUAAAAACGUAGCUUCUCACACACCUCUAAAGAACUCGUCUUUAGACAUUCGGAACCUUUCGAGCCCAUUUUCCCUGCCUCCCAGUUUGAGCAACAGCACCUUCUCUCUGGUAAAGACGUGUCUGUUUGGAGGUAUGAAUAAAACCAUUUAGCUCAAAAAUACUGUAGGUUUUACCAAUGCAGAUGGUCUCAGAGUGGAUCCCAGUAAACUCCCAGGAGAUCCGUUCGUUUUUUGCUGGCUGAAUUUCUCUCGUGCGCCAUGAAAAGGUCGAUUAUGCUACAGCAGGGGAGUUUGUGUCCCGUGUCUGUCAGCUGUCAUGUUUUAAGUGGCACUGCCUGAACUGGAGAUUGUUUUAGGAUGGGGGGGAAAACUGCUUUCCACAAGCUGGCAACUGGCACUCAUUUAGGUCUUUUCUUCAUCCUUUUACGUUGAUGACAUUCAAAUCUAUUGUCAACUGACUGAUGAUUUGGCAGCACCACUGAACUCCCUGUACGAUUGCCUGAGAGAGGUUAAAGAUUGGCUGGCAGAAAAUUCUCUCGUUUUAAAUGAGAAAAAAACUAAAGUUAUGGUGUUCGACAGCCAUAUUCCUCGAGACCAGCUUGUUGCUCUGCUGGGGCCCCUUGCUAACUCUCUCUCCGAUUCUAUGCGUAACCUGGGUGUCUAUUUGGAUAGCUCCUUUAAGCUCGAUAAGCAAGUAUCAUCUGUAGUUAAAUCUGGUUUUUUUCAACUGCGCCAGAUUUUUAAAGUUAAGCAUUAUAUAGCACACAGGGACCUGGAAAAACUUAUCCAUGCUUUUGUGACCUCCAGGUUAUUGUAAUUCUCUCUACUGUGGUCUCCAAGCCUUCUCUCUUCGAAGGCUGCAACUCGUUCAGAAUGCUGCGGCUCGCCUUCUUACUGGCACUAGAAAAUUUGACCCUAUUACUCCGGCUCUUGUUGAUCUGCACUGGUUACCAAUCAAAUAUCGCAUUGAGUUUAAAAUCUUGCUACUCACUUUUAAAAUCCUGAAUAACAUUGCGCCCAGCUACCUCACUGACCUCCUCAAUUGUACAUUUCUUGUCGUGCAUUAAGAUCAUCAGGUCAAUUACUCCUGGCCCAACCUAAGUUUAGACUGAAGACCAGAGGCGAUCGUGCCUUUGCUUCAGCUGCACCCAACCUUAUUCGAGCCUUGGAUUCUAUCCACUCCUUUAAAUCAAGAUUAAAAGCAUAUCUAUUUGACUUUGCUUUCCCGACCAGUUAAUACCCUUUUAAAUCUUUUAAAUGUUAAACUUUUAAAUCUUUUAUUAGAUUUUAUUAAAUGUAUUAUUUUUUGUUAAUUUUACUGCUGUUUUUGUCUUCUUAGCAUAUUUUGUAUUUAUCUAACUCUCCUGGUCUGUUAGUGCCUCUAUCCUGUCUGUGCUUGUGCCCGAUUUGUACCCUGUUAUUGACCUAUGUUGACUCUCCAUAUUACUGUGAAGCACUUUGGUGUGCCUUCGGGUUUUUAAAUGUGCUAUAUAAAUAAAAUUGUAUUGUAUUGUAAUUGUAUUGUAUUUUACUGAUUUUAUGAGCAUUUCCCAUCCAUUUCAGGUUUUUAUCCUAAUACACAGUAAGCAAUUUUUUGUGGAUGUUUGUGUUAAUGGCAGUUUAAAGACAUUUUCUUGCUCUGAGGCUGAUGCGCAGAGAGAAGGUGGAACCGUUUAAUUAGAUAUUAUAAAAACAGCCUACUAAAGUACCUGUUAAAGCUGCAACACAACACUAUUGUUUUUUGUCAAAACUUGUAUCAAAUCAUAGCCACAAACGUCACUUUCUUUUUAGUACACAUAACUCUCUUAUAAAUCGAUGUAUUUUGUGCCCUCGUCUCCAUUUACUGAAAAACAUCUUUAAGACAAGAUUUCUACUGUCAGGUCUUUUCCUUCUUGUCCUGUCCUAGAUCUGUCACUGAGAGCUCCCUUGUCACAAGGGUCACCACAAAAAAAUACAUUUGCUCUUUGGUGCGUUCCGUAUUUUCACCCUCACUCUUCAGGAGCUGACCCACUGUCACCACUAGAUGGCUCCAUCUCCUCAUUCUUCUCGUUUAGUUGCUGAAAACAAUUUACU
ensembl:lncRNA